rnacentral:rRNA from 1 species
UACAGAGGGUGCAAGCGUUGUUCGGAAUUAUUGGGCGUAAAGCGCGUGUAGGCGGCGUGACAAGUCGGGUGUGAAAGCCCUCAGCUCAACUGAGGAAGUGCGCCCGAAACUGUCGUGCUUGAGUGCCGGAGAGGGUGGCGGAAUUCCCCAAGUAGAGGUGGAAUUCGUAGAUAUGGGGAGGAACACCGGUGGCGAAGGCGGCCACCUGGACGGCAACUGACGCUGAGACGCGAAAGCGUGGGGAGCAAACAGGAUUAGAUACCCUGGUAGUCCACGCCGUAAACGAUGAGAACUAGGUGUCGUGGGAGUUGACCCCCGCGGUGCCGAAGCUAACGCAUUAAGUUCUCCGCCUGGGAAGUACGGUCGCAAGACUAAA